rnacentral:rRNA from 1 species
GGAUUAGAUACCCUGGUAGUCCACGCUGUAAACGAUGAGUGCUAGUUGUUGGGGGUUUUCACCCUCAGUGACGUAGUUAACGCGCUAAGCACUCCGCCUGGGGAGUACGGUCGCAAGAUUAAAACUCAAAGGAAUUGACGGGGACCCGCACAAGCGGUGGAGCAUGUGGUUUAAUUCGAGGCAACGCGAAGAACCUUACCAGGCCUUGACAUCCCGAUCGCGGUUAGUAGAGAUACUUUCCUUCAGUUUGGCUGGAUCGGUGACAGGUGCUGCAUGGCUGUCGUCAGCUCGUGCUG